rnacentral:rRNA from 1 species
UACGGAGGGUGCAAGCGUUAUCCGGAUUCACUGGGUUUAAAGGGUGCGUAGGUGGGUUGGUAAGUCAGUGGUGAAAUCUCCAGGCUUAACUGUAAACUGCCAUUGAUACUAUCAAUCUUGAAUACCGUGGAGGUCAGCGGAAUAUGUCAUGUAGCGGUGAAAUGCUUAAAUAUGACAUAGAACACCAAUUGCGAAGGCAGCUGGCUACGCGGAUAUUGACACUGAUGCACGAAAGCGUGGGGAUCAAACAGG